rnacentral:rRNA from 1 species
GACGAACGCUGGCGGCGUGCUUAACACAUGCAAGUCGAACGGUAAGGCCCUUCGGGGUACACGAGUGGCAAACGGGUGAGUAACACGUGGGUGAUCUGCCCUGCACUUCGGGAUAAGCCUGGGAAACUGGGUCUAAUACCGGAUAGGACCACUGCCUGCAUGGGUGGUGGUGGAAAGCUUUUGCGGUGUGGGAUGGGCCCGCGGCCUAUCAGCUUGUUGGUGGGGGGAUGGCCUACCAAGGCGACGACGGGUAGCCGGCCUGAGAGGGUGACCGGCCACACUGGGACUGAGAUACGGCCCAGACUCCUACGGGAGGCAGCAGUGGGGAAUAUUGCACAAUGGGCGCAAGCCUGAUGCAGCGACGCCGCGUGAGGGAUGACGGCCUUCGGGUUGUAAACCUCUUUCAGCACCGACGAAGCGCAAGUGACGGUAGGUGCAGAAGAAGGACCGGCCAACUACGUGCCAGCAGCCGCGGUAA